GUGGGUAGUUUGACUGGGGCGGUCUCCUCCCAAAGAGUAACGGAGGAGCACGAAGGUUAGCUAAUCCUGGUCGGACAUCAGGAGGUUAGUGCAAUGGCAUAAGCUAGCUUGACUGCGAGCGUGACGGCGCGAGCAGGUGCGAAAGCAGGUCAUAGUGAUCCGGUGGUUCUGAAUGGAAGGGCCAUCGCUCAACGGAUAAAAGGUACUCCGGGGAUAACAGGCUGAUACCGCCCAAGAGUUCAUAUCGACGGCGGUGUUUGGCACCUCGAUGUCGGCUCAUCACAUCCUGGGGCUGAAGUAGGUCCCAAGGGUAUGGCUGUUCGCCAUUUAAAGUGGUACGCGAGCUGGGUUUAGAACGUCGUGAGACAGUUCGGUCCCUAUCUGCCGUGGGCGCUGGAGAAUUGAGGGGGGCUGCUCCUAGUACGAGAGGACCGGAGUGGACGCAUCACUGGUGUUCGGGUUGUCAUGCCAAUGGCAUUGCCCGGUAGCUAAAUGCGGAAGAGAUAAGUGCUGAAAGCAUCUAAGCACGAAACUUGCCCCGAGAUGAGUUCUCCCUGACUCCUUGAGAGUCCUGAAGGAACGUUAAAGACGAUGACGUUGAUAGGUCGGGUGUGUAAGCGUAGCGAUACGUUGAGCUAACCGAUACUAAUGAACCGUGAGGCUUAACCUU
rnacentral:rRNA from 1 species